UUGUGUUGCCCAUGCAAGUAUUGAAUUUUCGUGAUUGAUUGCUGAGAAAGUGAGACUCUGAUGGCUUGUGUAACAUUCGUUUGUGUCAGAAUGUAGAGUUUAGCAUUUAUUUGACACAAUCAUACAAAAUUCUAUUCUGUGCUUGGAUUCUGGAAUUUUUACCUGUGUAUAAUGUACUGCUUCUCACUUGUUAUAGGAAUUCAAUUUUGUAGCUCUCAUUGAUGCUUUUCAACUUCAUGCACUAUUUCUGUGUUAUCAUUAAGAUUGAGUCUGCACAAAAGACCAGAAAAAAGUUCAUUUUAAUUUCUUUGCUCUAACGGGUUAUGCUCAAAUGGUUAAUGAAUUACAAUUUCAUUAUAUUAUGUAUAUUAGUUUUUUUAAAAAUUUAAAAUAUCCUUAUAUUGUAUUUUAUAAAAUAUUUAGUUGUUGCGUCUAAAAUAUCAAAUUCUAUUAUCUUUCAACGUAAAAAUAAAUAAAAUAAAUAUGCACUACAAAAAAAUUAUUAAAUGAAAAAUUUUAAAGAUUAAAAUAAUUAGUUAUUAUUUAAGUAAAUUAGAAAUUAUUUUAUAAAUUAAAAUAAUUUUUAAAUAAGUAUUUAAUCUUUAACUACCAGGAUUUUAGCUACUUACUACUCUAUAUUUGUGAAGAACAAUUUAAAAUCUAAAAUAUUAGUAAUUAAAAUCUAGGUAAUUAAUUUAUAAAUUAUUUUAUAAAUUUUUAUUAAUAAUAGAAACCAUUUUAAAUAUUAAUAAUUUUUUAGUCUCUAAAUUAAUAUUUAAUAAUUUAGUUAAUAUAUACUUUUGAUCUUUAAAUUUGGUUGCUACUUAUUGAUUUUCUUGUAUUCAUUAUUAUGUUUAUUAAAUUUCAUUUAUAUUUUUUUUUACCUUAGCUCACUCACUAACAUCUCAUUGUAUACUUGAAUGCUUUAAAAAAUUAUCUUCUAAUUAAUGUAAUUAGCUAAACCUAAUUUCAAUUACGCAUUCUUAUCACGAAAUAAAUUAUCCAAAUACUAAAACGUACAAAGAAUUAACGGAUUUGAAAUUAUUUCAAAAUAGCUAAUAAUUUUGAGUUUAAUGUUUAAGCAUGUAUUUAUUUUUAAUUAUAUUAUGGAUACAAAUUAUUUAGUGGUUUCUCAAUGAUUAAUCUCUACCACAAACUUUACUAACCAUUUUUUCCCAAUAUUUUUUAUAUAUAAUACUUAAAUCCGAAAUUUUAUUUAAAAAACUAAUAAAAUAAGUUCAGUAUCACUUAAAUUAAAAAAUAAAUCGUUAUCAUUUAAAAAGAUAUUUAAAAACAUUUUUAUCAAAUUAAAAAUGAGAACAUACUUACAUUUGCAUUUUGAAAAUUUAAUCAUUAUGAUGCCAUAUUACUUUUAUAUAUAUAUAUAUAUAUAUAUAUAUUAACCAUGAGUGAGAUACCAAUCAAAUUGAAAUUUAUUUAGGGGUUAAAUUUUUUUUAUGUAUUAUAAGGCGAAAUUAAUUUUUAUCUCUAUUCUAAACUUUAGAAUUUUUAGAUAUUUGUAAUAACGAAAAUAUUAAAAUUGAUCCAUUAUUUUUUUAAUUUUUUUUAACACAUGAAUUUGUGAAGACCAUUCAAAUAGUUUUUUUUAUUACAAAUAAUCAGUGAGUAUAAAGUUUCAACUAUGGAAAAUCAAUUUGACAUCAAACUAGGAAAAAAAUUAUUUAACCAUUUAUUUAAUAGAUAAUACAUUGUGAAUAUGUAAAACUUUUAUUUUUACAGCAGUUUGUUAAUAUUAUUAAUAUUUUUUUUACAAAAGAUAUUGUGGUUAACGUUAAUAACUUACUUUAAUAUUAUACAUUUGAAUUAUUAUGUGUAAAACUUUGGCCCAUUGGCCUAUUCUCUGUCCUUUCUUCAUUUUCAUAAAACCAACUUCAAUUAUCAUAUUUUUUUAUGAUCAAUUUUGCCUUAAAAGAGGUAGUAAGUUACGAAACUCAUUCAUUUUAUUAGUUUUUAAAAUAGAUAAACUCAUUUAUUUUGUUAUAAUAUUUUGUUCUGUAAUACUUUUUAUUAUAUUUUUUAGUUUUAGCAACUGUGAACUUUGAUUCUCUCCCUUAACUUUAAAAAAUUCUUUGAAUUAGUGUUUUAGUUGUUAUUAAAGUUAGAAGCUUAUAAGUGUUUUUAUUCUUGAAGUUCUAAUAACUUGGAUUUUAGACAAAUUUCUUUAAGUAAGUGUGAUUAAUUUAUUUACUUCAUUCACAAUUGUUUUGAAUUUGUGGGAAUAAGUUUAAAAUCUUGCAGAUAUUAAUAUAUAUGGGAUGUAAAAUUUAUAUUAAGAACAUAAAAUUAUAAGAAUAAAAAACAUAUUUAACUAUAAUUUUUUUAAUAACGUGAAGAACAUAUGACACGAACCACUAUAAGGAAGAAAACAUUUUCAUUGUAGUGAACUGAAAAUGGUAGUAGAAAUAGAUAGAUUAACCUAACAACUGAAAUGAUUGUUGACAUCAAAUUAGAAAAAAAAUAUAAUAAAUUUUAUUUAAAUUUUUUAAUAUAGACUUAAUUAGAACUGAGUGUGACUGGCACAUAAAGUCGAUUGGAAUAUUCAAAAAAGACAGAUAGAAUUAAAAAAUAUUUUAAGAAAAUAAAAUAAACAUAAAUAAAUAAAAAAAGAAAGCGAAGACCAAAUGUGAAUUGAGGCUUUGAACUCUCCGAAGGACACAACAGAGAAAGAAGAGUUUCAGAAUUUUCAGAAAAGAGGUUUUGCGUUUUGCGUUUCGCGUUUUCACUUCUCAAACGGCGUCGUUUCAUGGGCGCUGAAAAAUCCUCCAUGGCCAUAACCACUAGAGACAGAGAUCGAGAGCUUCUCAUCCCCGUCGCCGCCGUCGAAGGCGCUGCCGCCCCUUCCUCCAUGCCGUCGUCGUCCUCUUCUUCGUCGUUGUCUUCCUCGCAUCUUGCUGGACGUGAGGUGAUCUCUUUAUCUACCCUCUCCAAAUUUGGGUUUUCGAUUAACCAUUACAAUUCAUCUUCGCUUCCUCUUUUUUUCCCCAAUUCGCUCAAUCUGGUCUUUUGUGAAUGUAUUGGGUUGGGGGAUUUACUUGAAAGUUUCUUCCUUGACUUGAAUUGAGGUUUUUUUGGGAUGAGCCUUUUAGGGAUUGGGGAAUCAAUAGUUUCUUUGUCAAGAGCAGUGUGUAGCUUCUAUGGAAUGGAGAUUUAAGUAGGUGUUAAUCUGAGUUUGUAUCAUGAUUCAUCAAAUCAAAUUGUAUUUAAAAUAAAAAAGGGGUAGCAAAACUGGCAAUGAAUGAAGUGAAGCUAUCUAGUGCUAAUUAUUGUAAGCUGUAUUAUGGAGCAAUGAUUUAGUUUUGCGUAAGUAACAAGAAAUUAUUUAGUUGCAUUAUUUGGGAUGAAUGUUCUCUUUUUGUUUUUGUGGUUUGAAUUAGUUGCAACUGGCAUGUGAGAAUUUGCUAUGCCUUCAUAAGUAUUUGUCUGACAUAUUGCUAUUUUAUUUGGUUGUUUCUGUCUUUUGUAGACUUUUUCCAAAGUUGUUAGAAGCUGGGCAUCAAAAAAGUUCAUGUCAGGAUGGUGCGUAGUUCUUCUGUCCAACAUCUUGAUAAGCAUGGUUAUAUGAUAUGUAUUGCAUGCUCUUGGAUAUGAUCUUGUGUAUUUUUUGCUGAAUGAAUUUUCCUUUCGCAUAUCUUGUUGUUUAUGGUGUUGCAUUACAAACGAAAAGUUACGAAGCAUGUUAGGGGAGAGUAUAUAUUCCAAGUAGUAUUCAAAGAGUUCAACUGAUAUAUAUUUUUUUUUAAUUUGCAAAUCCUAUAUGAAUGAAAAUCUCAGGUUCUUUAGAGACUAUAAAUCUCCAAAUCAUUUUCUGGACACCAGUUACUGUCAUGCACUCUUUUACAAGAAUUCUCAACAUAGUAUGACAAAAAUAUGUAACAAUCUCAUUCCUAUCUCAUCACUUUGAUUUAAAUUGAAAGGAUAAGACGAUGUAGAACUAGAUAGACUUUAAGUCAUCAAUGAUGAUUUAAUAGUGGAUACUUGAUCCUGGAAGAAUAUUUGUUCUUGUCCAGUAUACUAUUUUCUGCUUGCAAUAUGAUUUGCUGAAUUAUGAUUGGUUACCUUUUUGUUUGGAUCAUUGCUCUCUUUGUCCUUUUCGAAUUCUCUAGGUCCUUCGUUUCUUUGUUGUUUAAUUGGUGAUAUCUCACUGCUAGUUCUUUUGCAGUGUCAUUCUCUUUCCAAUCGCUAUCACCUUCUAUGUAACAUGGUGGUUUAUUCAUUUUGUGGAUGGAUUUUUCUCUCCUAUCUAUGCUCAACUUGGAAUUGAUAUUUUUGGUAAGUGCUUAUGUUUUAUGGUAUUUCACAAUUAACCUUUACUGAUGUAAAGAUUAUAACAAAGUUCAAUUUUUGGCUUGAGCAGCUUAUUUUGUCUUGUGGCAGGGCUUUCCUGAGAAAAUCAUAUAUUUUUCACUAAAAGCUGUUAAAAUUAUGGCUACUUAUUAUUAAAUGAUUUUAUAUUAAUAAUAUUAAUUUUGGUCUUUAUUUUUUUCCUUGGAGUAGCUUGGACUAUUUAAAGCUGAAGUGUCCAAUAGUGCAACAAAACUAUUUUUUUACAACAUGUUGACAUUAUUGGCUAAUCUUUGGUCAGGUCUUGGAUUCAUAACUUCCAUAACUUUCAUCUUCUUGGUUGGGGUUUUCAUGUCAUCAUGGUUGGGUGCAUCUGUCUUGGGUCUUGGGGAGUGGUUUAUCAAGCGAAUGCCACUUGUUCGUCAUAUUUAUAAUGCCUCCAAGCAGAUUAGUGCAGCUAUCUCUCCAGGUGUGUGUUCGCUAAUAUCUAACUCUUGAUUUGAUUGUGAUAAUGGUAUGAAUGAAAUAUUGGACGAGAACAGCUUAUGCUAACAUGCAUAUUUUCACAGAUCAAAAUACACAAGCAUUCAAAGAAGUAGCCAUCAUUCGGCAUCCACGUAUUGGAGAAUAUGCAUUUGGAUUUAUCACCUCUUUUGUUACCCUUCAGGUCUGUAUAAAACUUCAGUGUUUGGUAGAUUUUAGGUUCAGAACAUUUACUUGCAUCAAUGUUUGGUCAGAUUCUCAUUAUGGUUCCCGGCAGUUACUACUUUAAUUAGUAGUUUAAAUGUUACUCGUUGUGUAAUUUUAAUUAUUUUCUGAUGGUGAUGUAGCAGUUUAGUAAAGAAUUGUGUUGACUUAUUUUACUGCUUCAGGCUUUCCGAUAGUGAUAGGAUGCUAAUCUUUAUUACACAAACAAGAUUAUCCAAACCAGUAUAUACAUAAGCUAAAAGUAAAGUUUUCAUAAAGCUAAGCAUACAAUGAUUUGACUUUGAUGGAACUAGUUUAUGGUCAACCGUUGAUGAUUACAUGUGUUUUUGAAGAUUUUGCGCAGCAUUGCAUGUUGAAAUUAAUCUUUUUUAAUAAUAUUCUUUUUACAGAACUAUUCUGGAGAUGAGCAGUUAUGUUGUGUUUAUGUUCCUACAAAUCAUCUUUAUAUCGGUGAUAUAUUUCUUGUCAGCACCAAUGAUGUCAUUAGACCAAACCUGUCCGUUCGUGAAGGAAUUGGUGAGUUAUUUUUUCAUUACUACUUAAAGUCUCUAUUUAUAGAAAGUCAAAGCAGACAUUUAUUUUGCAAUGUGGUAAUGUAAAUAUUACAAAGAUAGUUUGUUUGCUGAUUUUUCUUUCUGUGGCUCUCUGUGCUCAUGGUGCACCAAAAUUUAAACUAACAGAUAUGUGGCAUUCCAAAUUUGGAAUAUAACUUCUAAAAAGGAUAGGGGCUAAACAAAUAAUGAUAGUUAUACAUAUUUCUAGAUGACACUCCAGUCCUAACUUCUAAUGUACCAGAUAUAUCUAGAUGCUUCAAGUAUGUAAGUGGGUAAAAGGCAUAAUAUGAAUAAUGAAGAUGGAGAACAUUAACAACAACAAUUGGUUCCAUUCUAGUUUUACCGAAUGCUUGAACUUGUUUGGAAAUUGCAGAAAUUAUUUCACCAUCAUUAUCAUUUUCAUUGUUAUGGUCAUAAAAUAAUUCAUUCCUCUCUAGUUUCAUCAUAUGCUUGAAUUCGUUUCAAAUCUUCAGAAAUUGUUGUUUCGGGAGGCAUGUCAAUGCCACAAAUCCUAUCAACGAUUGAUUCACGCACCAUACCAGGGGAAAUAAGUAGAAUCAUCAGAAGCUAAGAGUGAAGGGCAUAGAUGUUCAUUUUUACCUGUGUAUAAUGUACUGGUUUUCCACUUGUUAUAGCAAUUCAUUUUUGCAGUGCUUAUUAAUUGAUGACUUUCAACUUAAUGUAGUGUUUCUUUCUAUGCUGCUAUCAUUAACCAACUAACUAAUGAAUCUGCUACC
rnacentral:lncRNA from 1 species